rnacentral:lncRNA from 11 species
CUGAUUUGUGAGCCAAAUUAUAAAUCCCCUGCUGAGGGGCAAAGAAACCUCUUGUUUACGGGGCUAAGGCUGUGCUGAAAAUAAAUGCCAGAUGUAAAGGCUGUGACAAUGAGCUCAGGAAGAUGUCAAGAGAUAAGGGAUCAUCAGACCAACUACUACUAGAAGCAGGAA